rnacentral:rRNA from 1 species
UGGGCGUAAGCGCGCGCAGGCGGCCAUUUAAGUCUGGGGUGAAAGCCCGGAGCUCAACUCCGGGACUGCCUUGGAUACUGGAUGGCUUGAGCAUUGGAGAGGCAAGGGGAAUUCCACGUGUAGCGGUGAAAUGCGUAGAGAUGUGGAGGAACACCCGUGGCGAAGGCGCCUUGCUGGCCAAUAGCUGACGCUGAGGCGCGAAAGCGUGGGGAGCAAACAGGAUUAGAUACCCCUGGUAGUCCACGCCGUAAACGAUGAAUGCUAGGUGUUGGGUGGGGGUCCCACCCCAUCAAGUUGCC